UACGCCGUUUGAGUAGUUUUUAGGUGAUCAUCAACGGAAAGCAUAAUCCUCACUUUAUACACACCCAAGCUCAUUAGUGUAAAUCACAAAUUAAAUGUUUUGUUAACAUUUUAAAUACUUUUUCAUGAACAUUAACAAUGUAUCACUAAUUAUUUAUCAAAAUUCUAUAAAAGAUAUUUAGUAAACACUCAUGGAAAUAGCAUGUCAUAAAUCAAUACAGUGGUCAAUGACCGGAAAUUUAAUUACACGUGUAUUGUCAGAUUAACUCUUCAAUCCAUUUAAAUCC
rnacentral:lncRNA from 1 species